AGUUCACCGCACGCCAACAUGGCGUCCCGGUACGACUCCAUCUUCGCCCAGACCUCCGGAACGCCCUCGCUGGUGUGGGAGGAGGCGCGCACCACCUGAAGAGGAAAUCCAGGAGCAGAUGAUGAAAUUCAGGGAAACGAUGAAAUUCAACUCAGACACAGAAGUGAAAGAGCCUCACAUGUAGGAAUACAAAGGAGGUCAGGACAUUCAUUCAGCUUUGGAGGACCCAUGAAAACCGUGUCUAUGAAAUGUAACCUUCAUUUUUUGAAUCCCUUAAUUAUAGAGCUGUGAAUCCAAAUGACAAAAGGAAGUUUGGAGAAGAGAGAGAAAACCUCAGUGUUGAUGUCUAACAAAACCAGAGAUACUCAACCACCUCCAGGCUGCUGAAGUUUUAGGACGUGAUAAGUGUCCUUUGGUGGUAAUUGAUAGCAACUGGAUUUCCACUAAGAUGGAUGUGACAGCGGAUAAAAAAUGGCGACCUGUGAACAACAGCCAAUUAAGAGUCCUCUAAUUACAUCAUGAAGUGAAUCAUUUUACAAGCCUGAUGCAAAUAUAGGAAAUCAAACUUGGUGAUACAGAAUGUACUCCACAUUUACUAAUUAUCCUUUCAAAAGGACUAGUUCAAAAAUAAAAUACUACAUGACCUCAUAA